rnacentral:misc_RNA from 1 species
GAUGAAGAACGCAGCGAAAUGCGAUAAGUAAUGUGAAUUGCAGAAUUCAGUGAAUCAUCGAAUCUUUGAACGCACAUUGCGCCCCCUGGUAUUCCGGGGGGCAUGCCUGUUCGAGCGUCAUUUCACCACUCAAGCCUCGCUUGGUAUUGGGCAACGCGGUCCGCCGCGUGCCUCAAAUCGACCGGCUGGGUCUUCUGUCCCCUAAGCGUUGUGGAAACUAUUCGCUAAAGGGUGUUCGGGAGGCUACGCCGUAAAACAACCCCAUUUCUAAGGUUGACCUCGGAUCAGGUAGGGAGACCCGCUGAACUUAAGCAUAUCAAUAAGCGGAGGA